GCUUGUCUCAAGAUUAAGCCAUGCAUGUCUAAGUAUAAGCACCCUUAUACAGCGAAACUGCGUACAGCUCAUUAUAUCAGCAAUUAUUUAUUUGAAGGUCACCUAUUACAUGGAUAACCGUGGUAAUUCUAGAGCUAAUACAUGCGCAAAGACCUGACUUUUGGGAAGGGUUGUGUUUAUUAGAUAAAAAACCAAUCUAUCUUCGGAUAGUUUUGUGGUGAUUCAUAAUAACCGAACGAAUCGCAUGGCUCACGCCGGCGAUAAAUCAUUCAAGUUUCUGACCUAUCAGCUUCCGACGGUAGGGUAUUGGCCUACCGUGGCUAUGACGGGUAACGGGGAAUUAGGGUUCGAUUCCGGAGAGGGAGCCUGAGAAACGGCUACCACAUCUAAGGAAGGCAGCAGG
rnacentral:rRNA from 1 species